AUACUAAGCGGAGGAAAGGAAAUUAACAAAGAUGCCCCUAGUAACGGCGAGUGAAGAGGGCGGCACACAGCACCGAAGCGGGUACACUUGUUGUAAUCGCGUUGUGGUGUCAUGCAUGUGUUCGGUGUCGUGCGCAUACCCUAUACCUUGGAAAGGGUAGGCAGGGAAGGUGAUACUCCUCUCCGGUAUGCGUUCUACGGCUGGUAGGAUAUAUGCACAAAAGAGUCACGUUCCUUUGUAGUGGAGCGCCAAUGGGUGGUACACGUCACCUAAUGUUCGAUACAAACUGAGUUCGAUAGCGUACAAGUACCGUGAGGGAAAGGUGAAAAGUACUCUGAAAGGAGAGUUAAACGCGUUUGAAAUUGCAGGGGGGGAAGCGCAUGCAGGUGUGACUAUUGCGAGUAAUAUUGUGAUAUCUCAUCGGUGUUUCGUGGUCUUCAGCUGGGGUACACUAAGUUUCGGCGAGGUGUGGCCUGGGGGAGAACGCGGAAUAUACACAGUCGUACAUUGACUGUCUGAGGAGUUUACAUCCCUGCAUUUGACCCGUCUUGAAACACGGACUAAGGAGUCUAUCGUUGACGCGAGUGUGUUGAGAGAAUCUAACGCGCGUAAGGAAACUGAAUUCCGUUGCAGCGGAAUCCAAUUUCUCUCUUCGGGGAGAGAUGUGAGAAUGAGCGUGUGCGAUAGGACCCGAAAGGUGGUGAACUAUGCCUGAGCAGAGUGCAGCCAGGGGAAACUCUGGUGGAGGCUCGUAGCGUUACUGACGUGCAAAUCGUUCGUCAAACUUGGGUAUAGGGGCGAAAGACUAAUCGAACCACCUAGUA
rnacentral:rRNA from 1 species